UCCACGGCAAUAAUGUCAGGUCAGCUCAUUUCCCAGCGCGCGCCUUCAGCUAUUUGCCUCGUCCCAGGAAGAGAAGCUUUGAGUUGAUAAACAUCAGCAAUAUGAAUGAAGAAAAAAUCCGAGACCGAAAGCCUCAUCCGAUGAUAUGUCAGACGGAGGGGACCUCAAGACGUGCAAGAAAUCAUGGCUUAUAAAAAAGACCACUAGGGGUCCCCAUACCAUAUAGAACAUAAUCCUGUCCGGCUGUCCUAUCAGACUGCAGCAUGAAAACAGAGAGGAGGGGGUUACAAAGCAGCCUGCAGUGAUUGGAUGAAGAGACUAUACACAACACAGCAGACUUAGGGAGGAAGUGAAUUUAUGAGAAGUCACAUCAGGUAAAAGAUGGAUAGAAUUCUGACAUUAUCGCCCAUGUUUUAAAGG